GGGAAUCCCUGGGAGCAUAUUUUUCUGAGUAUCGUUUCACCACCUCCGCCUCUGCGUCCUCACGGAUGUCAGUAGUGUUGGGUAAAUGGCGGUUUGACCUCGCGGUCAAUCCACUGAAAUGUAUACUGCUUCAGUAUCUUCAAUUUGAGUUGUGUGGCGUAAAACCCCACACCACUCACGUUGUCGAUGUUUGAUACUUGACCUCUGGUCAUCACAUUAUCUACAUUGGCAAUGCUGAAGAACCACUGAUUGGCAGGUUCAAGGUAUGUAGAGUUAUGGACGAGGUUUUCGGACCAGAUCUAUUCUUCUCAAUUCUUGAUCUCAGAUAAAGUAAGAGAACCCGCCGAAUUUAAGCAUAUUAUUAAGCGGAGGAAAAGAAACUAACAAGGAUUCCCCUAGUAACGGCGAGUGAAGCGGGAAGAGCUCAAAGUUAAAAUCGGGGUACUGAGAGGUGCUUCCGAAUUGUAAUCUAGAGACAUUUUUUCAGCUUCGACCCGGGUAUAAAUCUUUUGAAACAAGGUGUCAUAGAGGGUGAGAAUCCCGUCUUUGAUCCGGAGUUCGGGGCGUACGAA
rnacentral:rRNA from 1 species